rnacentral:rRNA from 1 species
CCUACGGGAGGCAGCAGUGAGGAAUAUUGGUCAAUGGCCGCAGGGCUGAACCAGCCAAGUCGCGUGAGGGAUGACGGUCCCAUGGAUUGUAAACCUCUUUUGUCAGGGAGCAAAGGGCGCCACGUGUGGCGCUUUGCGAGUACCUGAAGAACAAGCAUCGGCUAACUCCGUGCCAGCAGCCGCGGUAAUACGGAGGAUGCGAGCGUUAUCCGGAUUUAUUGGGUUUAAAGGGUGCGCAGGCGGAAUGUCAAGUCAGCGGUAAAAUUUCGGGGCUCAACCCCGUCGUGCCGUUGAAACUGGCGUUCUUGAGUGAGCGAGAAGUAUGCGGAAUGCGUGGUGUAGCGGUGAAAUGCAUAGAUAUCACGCAGAACUCCGAUUGCGAAGGCAGCAUACCGGCGCUCAACUGACGCUCAUGCACGAAAGCGUGGGUAUCGAACAGGAUUAGAUACCCCAGUAGUC